GGGGGGGGGGGGGGGGGGGGGGGGGGGGGGCGGGGGGGGGGGGGGGGGGCUGCGGUGGGGGGGUGCUCGGGUGGCGAACGGGUGAGUAACGGGUGGGUAACCUGCCCUUGACUUUGGGAUCACUUCAGGACACUGGGGCUAAUCCCGGAUAGGAACUCCUGCUGCAUGGUGGGUGUUGGAAAGUUUCGGUGGUUGGGGAUGGACUCGCGGCUGAUCAGCUUGUUGGUGGGGUAGUGGCUUACCAAGGCUUUGACGGGUCGCCGGCCUGCGAGGGUGACCGGCCACAUGGGGACUGGGAUACGGCCCAGACUCCUACGGGAGGCAGCAGGGGGGAAGAUUGCACAAUGGGCGGAAGCUUGAUGCAGCAACGCCGCGUGCGGGAUGACGGCCUUCGGGUUGUAAACCGCUUUCGCCUGUGACGAAGCGUGAGUGACGGUAAUGGGUAAAGAAGCAACGGCUAACUACGUG
rnacentral:rRNA from 1 species